rnacentral:rRNA from 1 species
UUAAGUUAGAAAGGGCGCACGGUGGAUGCCUUGACACUAGGAGUCGAUGAAGGACGGGACUAACGCCGAUAUGCUUCGGGGAGCUGUAAGUAAGCUUUGAUCCGAAGAUUUCCGAAUGGGGAAACCCACCAUACGUAAUGGUAUGGUAUCCUUAUCUGAAUACAUAGGGUAAGGAAGACAGACCCAGGGAACUGAAACAUCUAAGUACCUGGAGGAAGAGAAAGCAAAUGCGAUUUCCUGAGUAGCGGCGAGCGAAACGGAACAUAGCCCAAACCAAGAGGCUUGCCUCUUGGGGUUGUAGGACAUUCUAUACGGAGUUACAAAGGAACGAGGUAGACGAAGCGACCUGGAAAGGUCCGUCGUAGAGGGUAACAACCCCGUAGUCGAAACUUCGUUCUCUCUUGAAUGUAUCCUGAGUACGGCGGAACACGUGAAAUUCCGUCGGAAUCUGGGAGGACCAUCUCCCAAGGCUAAAUACUCCCUAGUGAUCGAUAGUGAACCAGUACCGUGAGGGAAAGGUGAAAAGCACCCCGGAAGGGGAGUGAAAGAGAUCCUGAAACCGUGUGCCUACAAAUAGUCAGAGCCCGUUAACGGGUGAUGGCGUGCCUUUUGUAGAAUGAACCGGCGAGUUACGAUCCCGUGCGAGGUUAAGCUGAAGAGGCGGAGCCGCAGCGAAAGCGAGUCUGAAUAGGGCGUUUAGUACGUGGUCGUAGACCCGAAACCAGGUGAUCUACCCAUGUCCAGGGUGAAGUUCAGGUAACACUGAAUGGAGGCCCGAACCCACGCACGUUGAAAAGUGCGGGGAUGAGGUGUGGGUAGCGGAGAAAUUCCAAUCGAACCUGGAGAUAGCUGGUUCUCCCCGAAAUAGCUUUAGGGCUAGCCUUAAGUGUAAGAGUCUUGGAGGUAGAGCACUGAUUGGACUAGGGGUCCUCAUCGGAUUACCGAAUUCAGUCAAACUCCGAAUGCCAAUGACUUAUCCUUAGGAGUCAGACUGCGAGUGAUAAGAUCCGUAGUCAAAAGGGAAACAGCCCAGACCGCCAGCUAAGGUCCCAAAGUGUGUAUUAAGUGGAAAAGGAUGUGGAGUUGCUUAGACAACUAGGAUGUUGGCUUAGAAGCAGCCACCAUUUAAAGAGUGCGUAAUAGCUCACUAGUCGAGUGACUCUGCGCCGAAAAUGUACCGGGGCUAAAUACACCACCGAAGCUGCGGAUUGAUACCAAUGGUAUCAGUGGUAGGGGAGCGUUCUAAGGACAGUGAAGUCAGACCGGAAGGACUGGUGGAGUGCUUAGAAGUGAGAAUGCCGGUAUGAGUAGCGAAAGACGGGUGAGAAUCCCGUCCACCGAAUGCCUAAGGUUUCCUGAGGAAGGCUCGUCCGCUCAGGGUUAGUCAGGACCUAAGCCGAGGCCGACAGGCGUAGGCGAUGGACAACAGGUUGAUAUUCCUGUACCACCUCUUUAUCGUUUGAGCAAUGGAGGGACGCAGAAGGAUAGAAGAAGCGUGCGAUUGGUUGUGCACGUCCAAGCAGUUAGGCUGAUAAGUAGGCAAAUCCGCUUAUCGUAAAGGCUGAGCUGUGAUGGGGAAGCUCCUUAUGGAGCGAAGUCUUUGAUUCCCCGCUGCCAAGAAAAGCUUCUAGCGAGAUAAAAGGUGCCUGUACCGCAAACCGACACAGGUAGGCGAGGAGAGAAUCCUAAGGUGUGCGAGAGAACUCUGGUUAAGGAACUCGGCAAAAUGACCCCGUAACUUCGGGAGAAGGGGUGCUUUCUUAACGGAAAGCCGCAGUGAAUAGGCCCAAGCGACUGUUUAGCAAAAACACAGCUCUCUGCGAAGCCGUAAGGCGAAGUAUAGGGGGUGACACCUGCCCGGUGCUGGAAGGUUAAGGAGAGGGGUUAGCGUAAGCGAAGCUCUGAACUGAAGCCCCAGUAAACGGCGGCCGUAACUAUAACGGUCCUAAGGUAGCGAAAUUCCUUGUCGGGUAAGUUCCGACCCGCACGAAAGGUGUAACGAUUUGGGCACUGUCUCAACCAGAGACUCGGUGAAAUUAUAGUACCUGUGAAGAUGCAGGUUACCCGCGACAGGACGGAAAGACCCCGUGGAGCUUUACUGUAGCCUGAUAUUGAAUUUUGGUACAGUUUGUACAGGAUAGGCGGGAGCCNAAGUUUCCGUGUUUCGUUUUGUUCAGUUUUGAGAGAACUAUCUCUCAUAUAUAAAUGUAUGUUCUUUGAAAACUAGAUAACAGUGUAGCUCAUAUUUUUUAAUUUUUAGUUUG